AGCAGUGAUGACCCACACAUUGAGACCCAGCCAGGCGCAGGAGCCCAGCCUGCUGGGCCUGGGGGCAGAUGCCAGUCUCUCCUGCUAAAGGACCCUGGCCCAGCCUUUGUCCAAGACAGGCAGAGAAACCAAGCCACUCCACAGUGGCUCACAGAGAAUUAUGGGAGGAAAUAUCCUGAGUCCCAGGACCCCAGCAUUUUAAAACCACUGCCCCUCCUAGUCGCUGCCACUGAGGCCCUCACCCCACGUGACACAACAGCAACCACAUGGCGCCACCGUGAAACCAACUUGCCAAAAAGAGGAAAGGAGGAGGCAGGUGUGGUAGCACACACCUGCCUCUGUGGUCCGGGACUGCAAGCAGAAGUCACCACUGUCACUCUUCACACUGUCCAGCCCACCUGUGUGCUGGACCCACGCAUGGGACCUCCAGCUGUGGAGACCACAAGGAAGUGUCACUCCUUCAGGGUGCUUGGAUCGGAAGCAACGGAAGCAGUGCAGGUGACCAACAACGUGGGCAGAAGAGCCAAAGGGAGACAGGAACCAGAGCAAGACCCUCAGGAAAGAGGACUCCAGAGCUGCUGCAGAAAGCGGCGAGGAUGAUGGAAUGAGCGUGUCCAAAGCAAGAGGGAGAAUUCUGAGGAUGACUCAUGGCAGUGUGUCUUUUACUGUAAUACAUUUUAAAAAUUUUAAAUGUUCACUGUAUAUAUUGAUCACACCUUAUUAAAUAUAUGAGAUGUACUCAUAUGUUCAAAUACAUCUUAUAUAAUAAAUGCAAAUAAGUACAUAAUCCUUGUAUAAAUAUUUGCUUAAUGGAUAAAUGAAAUGCAUGAAUAAAAACUGAGAAACUGGUCUUAUAAAAGAGUUCUGGGC
rnacentral:lncRNA from 1 species